GGCGACAUAGUUAAUUGGCAAAACGGAAGGCUCAUAAUCUUCAAAACGGGGUUCGAUUCCCUGUGGCGCCA
rnacentral:tRNA from 1 species